AUUGAACGCUGGCGGCAGGCCUAACACAUGCAAGUCGAACGAGUGGCGGACGGGUGAGUAAUGUCUGGGAAACUGCCUGAUGGAGGGGGAUUACUACUGGAAACGGUAGCUAAUACCGCAUACCAUCAGAUGUGCCCAGAUGGGAUUAGCGAGUUGGUGGGGUAACGGCUAACAAAGGCGACGGUCCCUAGCUGGUCUGAGAGGAUGACCAGCCACACUGUAACUGAGACACGGACCAGACUCCUACGGGAGGCAGCAGUGGGGAAUAGUGCACAAUGGGCGAAAGCCUGAUGCAGCCAUGCCGCGUGUAUGAAGAAGGCCUUCGGGUUGUAAAGUACUUUCGGCGGGGAGGCGUUACCCGCAGAAGAAGCACCGGCUAACUCCGUGCCAGCAGCCGCGGUAAUAC
rnacentral:rRNA from 1 species